UCUCUGGAGGACUAGUGGUUAGGCCUCAGUCCUCUCAACACCACGGCCCGGGUUCAAUUCCUGGCCAGGGAU